ACGUAGGUGGCAAGCGUUGUCCGGAAUCACUGGGCGUAAAGCGCGCGCAGGCGGCGAUCUACGUCUGGGGUGAAAGCCCGGAGCUCAACUCCGGGACUGCCUUGGAUACGGGAUCGCUUGAGGAUUGGAGAGGCAAGGGGAAUUCCACGUGUAGCGGUGAAAUGCGUAGAUAUGUGGAGGAACACCUGUGGCGAAGGCGCCUUGCUGGCCAAUUUCUGACGCUGAGGCGCGAAAGCGUGGGGAGCAAACAGG
rnacentral:rRNA from 1 species